rnacentral:lncRNA from 1 species
UUUGAAAUCGGUCCCGAAAGACAAAGGGAUUCAGUUUCCUCCACGACCACCUAAACACACAGUAGAAGCCAACGACUGAAAAAUCGCCAGCCUCUGAUUUUCUAGAUAAAGCAUUUGAUACCGUACUUAUAAAAAGAUAGGGGAAAUAAGUCAAAAUCUGCUAAUUCUUGGCUUUGCAGUCUUAAAAAGAAAACUCCCGGCAAAGUUCUGGGAGGACUUCUUAAAAUCUCACCAGUCAGCUUCUCCCAACUUUGCGAUGUCACCGUCGGGGCUGCGCCCAGAGGAGCCGCGAGGUCAGACGGGCACCGACCCUCGAGGCGGGAGAGGAGCGCCGGUGCCCGCGAGCCGAGGGCUAAAAAUACGGCGGCCGUAAACAGAUCCCCUCCCUCGCCAGCCGCCGCUAGCCCGGCAAUUACGGAGGAGUGAGCUCACGCAGCCCCGCUUACUCAGCCUCAGCCUCUAAAGUUUCCACCGUCACGGCCACUUUCCUUUUCCUCAAGUUCAAGGGCCGGCCCCGAGUCCCCCGGCGCGUCUUUUCCGCCCCCUUCCUCCAUGACGGCUCGCACCUCAGCCCGGCCCCGGAGCGGCCGUCUCCCCUCCCAGCCUCCGGGAUCCCGAGGCUCCGGAGGCACUUCAGCCCGGCACGAGGGAGCAGCCCGCACCUAGCCGCCCUAAACUCCUCCACCUCCCCAAAGUCCGCUUGACAGGCGGGGACCGUCCCAACCGCCCGGCCCGCUCCGGGAGAGGCCGGCGGGGGAGCGACGCCGCGCCGCGCGCAGGAUCUGGAGCCGAAGCCAGACGGGACUGAUCAGGACUGGCCUCUCCCAGGGGCUUUUUGCCUGCCACACACCCGGCCGCCGCUCCGACUCCGGCGGCUGGUUCAGGAUCGGUGGCUUUCGGCCGUCCGGCCGGAAACAAGCGCCAGUUUCCGGCCGGAGCGGGUUGGUGGUGACACCCAAGCCGCCCCCGGGCCUCCUCCCGCCCCGCCCCGCCCAGUAGCAGCCCCGCCCAGUAGCAGCCCCGCCUUCAGCGCCGCUCCCGGGGCUGUGGCUGGUUUGGCGUUUGCCCUGCGAGUGACCCGGUGCUUUCCUGCCCUGCGUUCCUAAAGCCCCUGGACCGAACGUCUUGAAUAGGAGCUGGAGGGUAUAGGGUAGACUUUUGAGAAUUUUGAGUAGAGUGAACUGGCUCCAACCCUUUGGGAAGGAACAGAAAGGGGUAGGCUAGUUCUAGAAAGGUGAGAGGAUGGAAAUACUUUAGAAAAAAAAAAAGUGAAAUUUUAGUUACUCUACACAAUCAUCUGGACUGAGACGGAAAAUUAACAGCGCUUCUUCCAAAACAGCCUCCACCCAGUUAUGCAUUUCCCCUGUUCCUGUGUUCUUGAAGUGAACAUACCCUUCUCUAUAAACACUUAAUAUUUACUUGCGUAACAACAAUACCCUGUUGACACAUCCGCCUUAGAAUGUUAGCACAAUCAAUAAAAGUUAUGUCGCACUUUGUGCUUGUAAUAGC